CCUACGGGUGGCAGCAGUGAGGAAUAUUGGUCAAUGGUCGAGAGCCUGAACCAGCCACGCCGCGUGAGGGAUGAAGGUACAGAGUAUCGUAAACCUCUUUUGUCAGGGAACAAAGACGGGGACGUGUCCCCGGAUGAGUGUACCUGAAGAAAAAGCAUCGGCUAACUCCGUGCCAGCAGCCGCGGUAAUACGGAGGAUGCGAGCGUUAUCUGGUUUUAUUGGGUUAAAAGGGUGGGCAGGCGGUCUGUUAAGUCAGCGGGAAAAGCCCGGGGCUAAACCCGGGCCUGCUGUUGAAACUGGCAGGCUGGAGUGCGAGAGAAGUAGGCGGAAUGCGCGGUGUGGCGGUGAAAUGCAUAGAUAUCGCGCAGAACUCCGAUUGCGAAGGCAGCAUGCCGGCUCCACACUGACGCUGAGGCACGAAAGCGUGGGUAUCGAACAGGAUUAGAUACCCGUGUAGUC
rnacentral:rRNA from 1 species